rnacentral:rRNA from 1 species
UGGUUUUCUGCGAAAUCUAUUUUGGUAGAUGAUUUAAUUAUUUUAUUAGAGGGUAUAGCACUGAAUAUCUAAUAAUAUAUUAGAAGGGAGUAUGAAAGUACUUACUUUGGAUAUUUAAUCUCAGAAUAUCUAAUAAGAUGAUUUGAGUUAUCAGACUUAUUGCGAUAAGGUGGUAAGUCGAAAGGGAAACAGCCCAGAAUAAUAUAUAAAGUUCCAAAAUUGUUAUUAAGUG